GACGAACUGUCCUAACGUUGUUCGGAAUCACUGGGCUUAAAGGGCGCGUAGGCGGGUCUUUUAAGUCAGGGGUGAAAUCCUGGAGCUCAACUCCAGAACUGCCUUUGAUACUGAAGAUCUUGAGUUCGGGAGAGGUGAGUGGAACUGCGAGUGUAGAGGUGAAAUUCGUAGAUAUUCGCAAGAACACCAGUGGCGAAGGCGGCUCACUGGCCCGAUACUGACGCUGAGGCACGAAAGCGUGGGGAGCAAACAGG
rnacentral:rRNA from 1 species